CGGUUAGCCCACUCGAGGAUCCAACUCUCGUCCAUUCCUGGCCUUUACCCUAACACCGACCCGAGAAACGGCCCUCCAAGCACAACGACGAGCGCACAUGGGUGACAACGCAAGGCAGCGCGACGGCGGGGCUGCGGCUACUGCAUAGACGAGCGGUGGCUGCUGCCGCUGCACAGAUCUGGCCCUCCCUCGCGCAAACUCCGUUCCGCGUGGCUCCCUCGCCUCCCAACGUUCCGUGCGGCUCCCCCGCCUCUGGCCAAAUCCAACAACGACAUCGACAUAGUGGUCUCCCACUCUCCCAUUCGAUUCAGUGGCUAUCUUCUCACCGGUUUGAAGAUUAUGCGUCAUCGAACACCUGUUCUGUUAGACUAGCUUGUGCCGGCGCUGUCCGGUGUUAGGCCUGCCGCCGGCUACAAGAUUCGUGUCAAUUUCUGCGCAAGCUUGUGCACACUGAAAAUCGGUGGAUUCGCGUCAGAUUUUGUACAAGCUUCUGCACAGGCCUCUGAACCUGAGCUGUCACCAACCAAAAUGUUGUUCCACCACUACAACUGUGGAUUGAUGUCGAUCAAACAAGAACUGAGCCAUGUCGUCCUUUGCGAGGGAGCCUAGGUUUACAAGUUCGAAGUAGGCAGACAAGUAAGGUUGCUGCCUGCUUGUUGUAGUGACGCAUUAGGGCCUUGUCAAGUUGAAACCGUGCUUGUACAAGCGGCGAUGAGCUGAUCAUCUCAUAUCCACUAGUAAUACUGCAGUUGUAGUACAACUCUUUAAAAGUUUAUUGGUCAAGCUGAAGUGCAUUGUCAGGUCCCUUCAUCUGUAUGCCAA